AUCCACUGUGUUAAUGAUUCCAGUCUUACUCAAACCGGUUUACGCUGACUCAUCGUUUUGUCCCGUGCCGUCGGUGGGAAGUGGACUUCUCACCGUGAUGACGGCCGUCAGCAGAGCCGUGCUGGUGCCCAUCACGAGGAAGCUGUCGAUGAACCAGGUGGACCAGAUGACGCCGUUUGAGACCCCCAUCACCUUGAGGGUCUCCUUCAGACGCAGCUCCUUUUCCAGGACGAUGCUUUUGACCACCAUGGACACGGAGUAGACCCAGGCCAGGACCAUGAAGACCGGGAAGCAGCGGUUGAGAGUGAGCAUGAAGCUGGGAAAAUGAAGAUUUGUAUUAACAACAGCAAGGCUGAAAACCAACAUUGAAUACCCGUGACCUUCGAUCCCUCAGGUGGUACUGCAUCAAAAGGCGACAUCAGUGUGUAAAGGAUAUCACCACAUGGGCUCAGGGACACUUCAGAAAACCACUGUCAGCAACAACAGUUUGUCGCUACAUCUGUAAGUGCAAGUUAAAACUCUACUAUGCAAAGCGAAAGCCAUUUAUCAACAACACCCAGAAACGCCGCCGGCUUCGCUGGGCUCGAGCUCAUCUAAGAUGGACUGAUGCACAUAUGUGAAGGCACCAUUAAUGCUGAAAGGUCGUCCACAUAACACGGGUAAGGGAUCUGUUGCAGGUAAACACCCAGCGGCCAUUCCUUUCCAGUCUGAGUGCGGAUGAUCCCAUGUUCCAGGAUGUCCUGAAGCAUCGAUAUCCAUACGGAUCUUGAACUUCACAUGAGGCGGGACUUUGGCGCCCCAAGGGUGCAUGUUCACAAAGACCAGGCCGGCCCAGAACUUUCCGUCCUGCAGCAGGUCCAAGGCCCGAUAAGUUACCGCGUCUUCGUCAGGCAGAGGCACAAAUUUAUCCAAGACCAGACACUGAGGGAAAGGGGAAAGACUUGAAUGAGACAAAUUGAAUAUUCUAUUUUCAAUUAUCAAACUCUGGUAACUUUUUUACUAUAAGAACU